UUAUUGUUGGUUAUUAUUAUCCAGGCUAAUAGAACCAAGUGGACAGAAUGGGUUAUUGUUGGUUAUUAUUAUCCAGGCUAUUAGAACCAAGUGGGCAGAAUGGGUUAUUGUUGUUUAUUAUUAUCCAGGCUAUUAGAACCAAGUGGACAGAAUGGGUUAUUGUUGGUUAUUAUUAUCCAGGCUAUUACAACCAAGUGGACAGAAUGGGUUAUUGUUGGUUAUUAUUAUCCAGGCUAUUAGAACCAAGUGGGCAGAAUGGGUUAUUGUUGGUUAUUAUUAUCCA
rnacentral:lncRNA from 1 species